UACAGAGGGUGCAAGCGUUAAUCGGAUUUACUGGGCGUAAAGGGCGCGUAGGUGGUUGUGCAAGUGAGAUGUGAAAGCCCCGGGCUUAACCUGGGAACCGCAUCUUAUACUGCAUAGCUUGAGUGCAAUAGAGGGUAGUGGAAUUUCCGGUGUAGCGGUGAAAUGCGUAGAUAUCGGAAGGAACACCAGUGGCGAAGGCGGCUACCUGGAUUGACACUGACACUGAGGCGCGAGAGCGUGGGGAGCAAACAGG
rnacentral:rRNA from 1 species